UCCCUGGCAGUCUAGUAGUUAAGACUCUGCACUUCCAAUGCAGGGUAUGCAAGUUUGAUCUCUUGUCAGGAGAU
rfam:TPA: Bos taurus chromosome 4, whole genome shotgun sequence.